rnacentral:rRNA from 1 species
GAUGAACGCUAGCGGCAGGCUUAAUACAUGCAAGUCGAGGGGCAGCAGUUUUGUAGCAAUACAGAAGCUGGCGACCGGCAAACGGGUGCGGAACACGUACGCAACCUUCCUUUAACUGGAAGAUAGCCCACCGAAAGGUGGAUUAAUACUCCAUAACAUAUUGAAGAGGCAUCUUUUUGAUAUUAAAGCUCCGGCGGUUAAAGAUGGGCGUGCGUCUGAUUAGGUAGUUGGCGGGGUAACGGCCCACCAAGCCUUCGAUCAGUAGCUGAUGUGAGAGCAUGAUCAGCCACACGGGCAAUGAGACACGGGCCCGACUCCUACGGGAGGCAGCAGUAAGGAAUAUUGGUCAAUGGACGCAAGUCUGAACCAGCCAUGCCGCGUGGAGGAUGAAGGUCCUCUGGAUUGUAAACUUCUUUUAUCUGGGAAGAAACCCAUGUUUUCCAACGUGGUUGACGGUACCAGAUGAAUAAGCACCGGCUAACUCCGUGCCAGCAGCCGCCGUAACAC